rnacentral:rRNA from 3 species
GGAUGCGAUCAUACCAGCACUAGAGCACCGGAUCCCAUCAGAACUCCGAAGUUAAGCGUGCUUGGGCGAGAGUAGUACUAGGAUGGGUGACCUCCUGGGAAGUCCUCGUGUUGCAUUCC